UACGGGGGGAGCAAGCGUUGUUCGGAUUUACUGGGCGUAAAGGGCGCGUAGGCGGCGCGGUAAGUCACUUGUGAAAUCUCUGAGCUUAACUCAGAACGGCCAAGUGAUACUGCAGUGCUUGAGUGUGGAAGGGGCAAUCGGAAUUCUUGGUGUAGCGGUGAAAUGCGUAGAUAUCAAGAGGAACACCUGAGGUGAAGACGGGUUGCUGUGCCAACACUGACGCUGAUGCGCGAAAGCCAGGGGAGCAAACGGG
rnacentral:rRNA from 1 species